rnacentral:lncRNA from 1 species
AGAUUCUAGGAGUUAAAGCUUUCAGGGAUAGAGGGAGUAUUGUAAAUUCAAACAAUAGAUCUAAAGAGAGAUAAGUCAUACAAUCAAAUCAAGAUAUGCAUGUGUGUGGAUAUAUGAGGUGAAUAUGUGUAUGGUGGCUAACCUAAGUCUACUUUACUCCUUGAAAACAUAUCUCUCUUUUGACAAAGUGGAAACACUUGCUAGAGAACAAGGGCUGUCUCAUUCAUCUAUUUUUCUCUCUUUGUUUUUUUAGACGGGCAUCAAAGUACCCAUUAUUUUAGAUAUCUUAGACACUUGUCCAUUUUUUAACUUUCUUUCUCACUUUUUUUCUUCUUUUUCCAUGAAUAACUUUUGCAUAGCCCUAUGUCUCAUUUCUGUAAUAAAACUUUGAGAUAUAGUAACAAGAACUUGGAGCAUUUAUUUGGUGGAUGGGAAAUCUAACAAAUAUGUUUUUGUGUUCACUCCCAGUGUAGGAGUAAAACAUUUGUGGAUGGAUCUAAUGGAAGGCAUAUUUUUGCACCUAACCCAAAUGUAGGAGUAGUGCAUAUGGGGAUGGUGUGUGCAUGAUUUUAAUUUUAAGGGCAUGACAAACCUCUUAUAAGGUAUCAACAAAGCUUGCCAAAAAUCAAUGCAAAAGCAAGCAACAUAUAUGUGGAAGCUUUUAUUGCCUAAAUAAUAUGUAUGGCUCUCGUGGAAAUUCAAGCUUUGUCAUAUAGGAAUUCAUCAUGUGAUAUUUUUAUGAUUUCUCAAAAGAUAAAUCUCUAGAAUUUUAGUGUCACUAGGAACAAGAUAAAUAGUAGCUCAUAUCAUAUCUGUCAAUUACCUAGAAUUUUUUAUGGAGGCUUUGUCUUCUUUGGAUGAAUUUAUUUAGAGUUCAUCAUAUCUCUUGCUUCAUCUCCGAUGUGAGUUCAUCUUGGGACUUUCCAAUUGAAAUUAAGAGUUAUCCUGCAAGGGUUAGUCUAACAAAAUAUCCAAUGUCUACAAAAGAAAUUUUUAGUUCAAUAACUAAACUAGACUCCAUGUCUAAUUUGAUUGAGGGAUGCCAUUUAACAUAUGCUUAAUUUAACACACCUAUGGAAGUGUGCACAACACUUCCAAACCAAAACAUACUUUAGCAAACAAAGGUAGCAUGAAAGGAUUAGAGAAAUUUACUCAAAUAGAGAUGA